rnacentral:rRNA from 1 species
GGGGGUUUCAAUUGAGGCGGGCUGGACCUCUCGGGGUUACAGCCUUGCUGAAUUAUUCACCCUUGUCUUUUGCGUACUUCUUGUUUCCUUGGUGGGUUCGCCCACCACUAGGACAAACAUAAACCUUUUGUAAUUGCAAUCAGCGUCAGUAACAAAUUAAUAAUUACAACUUUCAACAACGGAUCUCUUGGUUCUGGCAUCGAUGAAGAACGCAGCGAAAUGCGAUAAGUAGUGUGAAUUGCAGAAUUCAGUGAAUCAUCGAAUCUUUGAACGCACAUUGCGCCCUUUGGUAUUCCAAAGGGCAUGCCUGUUCGAGCGUCAUUUGUACCCUCAAGCUUUGCUUGGUGUUGGGCGUCUUGUCUCUAGCUUUGCUGGAGACUCGCCUUAAAGUAAUUGGCAGCCGGCCUACUGGUUUCGGAGCGCAGCACAAGUCGCACUCUCUAUCAGCAAAGGUCUAGCAUCCAUUAAGCCUUUUUUUCAACUUUUGACCUCGGAUCAGGUAGGGAUACCCGCUGAACUUAAGCAUAUCAAUAAGCCGGAGGAA